UACGUAGGGUGCGAGCGUUAAUCGGAAUUACUGGGCGUAAAGCGUGCGCAGGCGGCUUGCCAAGUCAGAUGUGAAAGCCCCGGGCUCAACCCGGGAACUGCGUUUGAAACUGGCAGGCUAGAGUUUGGCAGAGGGGGGUGGAAUUCCACGUGUAGCAGUGAAAUGCGUAGAGAUGUGGAGGAACACCGAUGGCGAAGGCAGCCCCCUGGGCCAAAACUGACGCUCAGGCACGAAAGCGGGGGGAGCAAACAGG
rnacentral:rRNA from 1 species